rnacentral:lncRNA from 1 species
AAUAAAUCUCAUAGGAGUUAGGAUGAAGAAGUUAUUCCACUUUCAAAUCAGGUGAUCCCAGUUUUCCAGUUUGGGAAUAUGACAACUUCUUCGUCAUUCUAAUCAAACCAGGAUGAAUCGCGAUCUGAGAAGCUGUAUUUGGAUACAUAAAGCAGUGGAGAAUCACCAGGAAGGUGAAUAAAUCUCAUAGGAGUUAGGAUGAAGAAGUUAUCCCACUUUCAAAUCAGGUGAUCCCAGUUUUCCUGUUUGGGAAUAUGACUACUUUUUUGUCAUUCUAAUCAAACCAAGAUGAAUCGCGAUGUGAGAAUCUGGAUUUAGAUCCAUAAAGUAGUGAAGAAUCACCAGGAAGUUGAAUAAAUCUUAUAGGAGUUAGGAUGAAGAAGUUAUCCCACUUUCAAAUCAGGUGAUCCCAUUUUUCCUGUUUGGGAAUAUGAC